rnacentral:rRNA from 1 species
AGUGAACGCUGGCGGUAGGCCUAACACAUGCAAGUCGAACGGCAGCACAGUAAGAGCUUGCUCUUACGGGUGGCGAGUGGCGGACGGGUGAGGAAUACAUCGGAAUCUACUUUUUCGUGGGGGAUAACGUAGGGAAACUUACGCUAAUACCGCAUACGACCUACGGGUGAAAGCAGGGGAUCUUCGGACCUUGCGCGAUUGAAUGAGCCGAUGUCGGAUUAGCUAGUUGGCGGGGUAAAGGCCCACCAAGGCGACGAUCCGUAGCUGGUCUGAGAGGAUGGUCGGCCACACUGGAGCUUGGACACGGUCCAGACGCCUACGGGAGGCAGCAGAGGGGAAUGUUGGACAAUGGUCGCAAGCCUGAUCCAGCCAGACCGCGUCGGUGAAGAAGGCCUUCGGGGUGGAAAGCCCUUUUGUUGGGAAAGAAAAGCAGCAGGUUAAUACCCCGCUGUUCUGACGGUACCCAAAGAAUAAGCACCGGCUAACUUCGUG